AAUGUUCAGGCCCCUUGAAGUGACUAACAAUUAACCAAAAUUCUGUAUUUUUAAAACUAAUCCACAAACCUUAACUAGAAUACUUUCGUUUUCAUCAGCUUUUUUAUGCAGUUUUUAGGCUGGAAUCCCAACUUGAUUUGUGCGCAUAACUUGACGAACACAGAUCUCAAGUUAGGAUUUGGCACUUAGAUUUGGCACAAAUUUAGUUUCAAACCAAAUAAGCAAAAGACAACUUUUUUUAACUGACACUAACUGAUGUUUGAUGUUUUUCCCAACAAUGAUGUUUCCUGUGGUGGCUGAGAGCGAGACAGAGCCCAGCACCUUCUCCAGCCUGGGCUCCACGUUCAGAGAGACACGACCUCCACAAAGCCACUUAUCAAGGUCAUUUUGAUGGCAUGGGUGCUGCCACUUUAGAGAAGAAACUCACAAGGAACUUCAUCUGGACAAAGGUUUCUGUUCUGGAGAUAGUUACUGUAUUUGUAAAGGUGGAGUCGUCAAUAUGACAAUCAUACAAAACGGGGCAAAUUACUGCAUACAUAAAUCAACAACAGUAUUCAAAUCUUCUGAGAUUGCUACUUGAGGUUUUUCCCAAUCUGGGCUAGGCUCAAGGGAGGGUGCAGAUUGGGAAGAGUCAAUUAAUUUUUAGUUUUGCCAUAACAUUUUAUAGUCAUGAUGUCAUGAUCUGAUUUGCUGUUCUUUUUCAAAAUGUUAGCAGAAACUACUGUAGUUACCAUAAUGAGCCAGUAUUGGACACAUUGGGUGAUAUUUUGGACCCAUUAUAGACAUUUGAGAUUUGUUCAUGAACUCAAUGCUUUCCUUAUGGAUUCUGAGCAAAGCCAAAUAGAUGGCAAUUGUAUUAGGCCAUUUACAUUGAACAUGUGUUACAAUUUGGCUAAAUCUAUGCCAAAGUGACCAUCAACAAUAAGGUAAUAGCUUUUCUUGUUAUUGAUAAAUAUGGCCAGAUUCAUAUCACUGUGUUAACAUUGCAAUUUUGUGUUUAUUUUUGAGGGUAAGUCAGAACUUAUUUUCCCUGUCUUGGUUUCAUCCGUCUCCUUUUUCUGCUUUGGUGCCCAUGUAAGACUCAAGGCCAGAGAGAUGUUCAACAAUGGGCCCUGUGGAUAUUUCUCAGAAACAUUUGAAAACAGAAAUGUAUUAAAACAUAUGUAACACUUUUGUCCAUGUACUUAACUUUAUUCGUGUAAUCCAACCCAAAUAAUUGGACACCACUUUUUCCAAUAUAUGAUAAAACAUUAUGCAUAUUUUGUCUGCUGUUGAGAACAUAACUUGUAUUCAUUUUCACGUGUGUUUUAAUAUAAUAAACAUGUCUGUGAAAAACA